rnacentral:rRNA from 1 species
GACGAACGCUGGCGGCGUGCUUAACACAUGCAAGUCGAACGAAGUGGCGAACGGGUGAGUAACGCGUAAACAAACUGCCCUUCAGAGGGGGACAAAAGUUGGAAACGACUGCUAAUACCGCAUACUGCAGGAAGGGAUUGAGUCGGAUUGGGUAGGUGGGGGGGUAACGGCACACCAAGGAGAUGAUCAGUAGCCGGUCUGAGUUGAUGAACGGCCACAUUGGGACUGAGACACGGCCCCGACUCCUCCGGGAGGCAGCAGUGGGGAAUCUUCCGCAAUGGACGAAAGUCUGACGGAGCAACGGCGCGUGAGUUAUGACGGCCUUCGGGUUGUAAAGCUCUGUUAAUCGGGACGCGGUACCGGAAUAGAAAGCCCCGGCUAACUACGUGCCAGCAGCCGCGGUAAUUC